rnacentral:rRNA from 1 species
AACGAACGCUGGCGGCAGGCUUAACACAUGCAAGUCGAGCGAAGACUUCGGUCUUAGCGGCGGACGGGUGAGUAACGCGUGGGAACAUGCCCUUUGCUACGGAAUAGUCCUGGGAAACUGGGUUUAAUACCGUAUACGCCCUUCGGGGGAAAGAUUUAUCGGCAAAGGAUUGGCCCGCGUUGGAUUAGGUAGUUGGUGGGGUAAAGGCCUACCAAGCCGACGAUCCAUAGCUGGUUUGAGAGGAUGAUCAGCCACACUGGGACUGAGACACGGCCCAGACUCCUACGGGAGGCAGCAGUGGGGAAUCUUAGACAAUGGGGGCAACCCUGAUCUAGCCAUGCCGCGUGAGUGAUGAAGGCCCUAGGGUUGUAAAGCUCUUUCAGCAGGGAAGAAGCGAAAGUGACGGUACCUGCAGAAAAAGCACCGGCUAACUACGUGCCAGCAGCCGCAGUAACAC